rnacentral:sRNA from 1 species
CCCAGCGCUGACGCGCUGGGCUAUUGUCUGGCGCCCCUUCGGGGCU